GCGGCUAUAGUUCAGCGGUUAGAGCGCCUGAUUGUGGUUCAGGAUGUCGAGGGUUCGAAUCCCUCUAGCCGCCCCA
rnacentral:tRNA from 3 species